UAACGAGCAUUACUUGACUUCGGCCUUGAAUACUACAAAAUGAUGUGCUGCUUGCCUCUAAUAUUUGACCCAAAUAAUAAUAACUGAUGGCACAAAUCUGUUAAAAUUCAAGGAAUGGAAAUGCCACGAAAGACAUUGUUUCCGUAGGAAACCACUUUAUUGUAUUAAGAAAUCAGUUCCAUAAUUCUGCGUAAGUGUUCAUCGAAUAUUGUCUCAGAGGAGGAAUUUGCGGUACUGGCAUGGCUUUGACCAAUGUCUUAAUUUUAAUGGAUGCGUAGUCACUUCAAGAAAUGUAGAAAUGAAGCAACCAUUGAAUAAGAAACAACUGGUUGUGUGAAGCAAGAUGAAGCAUAUGAGAUCGACUUGAAAGCAAGUCCCAUGGAGAUGGCCAAAUGAGAACAUGCUUCCGGUAUUACAUGCCUACAGCUUCAUUAUUUUAUUCACAAAUUUUUUACCUGACAGGGUUGAAGCUUUGGUGCUUCUUUCUACAUGCAUCCAGAUGGUCCCUAAGAAAUUCUCACCGAUUGUGGUGGCAGAGUGGGGUAAAUAAUAAGAUAGUUGAAAAGGACAUGACCAAUCUGUUCCUAUCUGUCCCCAACCUGAGCUGGUGUUGAGUCCCUAAUUGUGUGUCUCUUGUUGUUGAUGGGACAUUAAACCAUAACAGUUCUUUUCUUCAGUCACAAUAGCCACAAACACGUGAGUCUUAAAUUCUUCAACAAACUGCCAAAAAGAGCUCACUAGAUUCCCUUACUGAAAUGCUAGAAAAUAUUAGAAACUGUGCUAAAAGAGCAAGACUUUUAUAGAGUUGAUGAAUUCACGGAGAGUGAUUUCCAAGGAUUGGGCUUUGGAUAGCUGCCUGUGUCAGUAAAAUUGCAUGUAAUAAUCAUACAAUUAGAAUUUGGUGUUUAUACAGGGUGAAGCAAAAUUCGCGCACUAGGCUUCACAGCACGACUCCUCACACGCCAGCAAUAAAAAAAUCUCUCUUUCAAAAUUUAGUCUGUCUGGCAAGAACACCCGGCAGAAAAAGGACGUUAAAAGAUUGACAAUGUGGUAACACUGUAACCACAUAUAUGGUAUAUUCCUCUGUCAGCGUGUAUCAGUUGUGCUGUAUAUGUGGUGCAGUGGGUAGAGUUUUGGGUUAUCAUGCAGAACGACGAUGGUUCGGUACUGUGUUAGGGCAUAUGUUUUUUAUAUGGUAAAUGUAGUCCAGAUGGUACAGUAUCUGGCAUCUUAAUCGUCAACAGCGAUUGCAGCAGGUCCUCUAGAAAACAUUUGUACUUACAUACUACAAUUGUAGAAAUGGAAGAUUGG